AAGGAAAGGAAGAAAAGUAGAUUGAUUAGUGUUGGGGAUGGCAGGUAGAAAAGAAUUCCAAGGGCUUUUAGUGAGAACGAUAUACAAUGAGGACUCCUAAACUUGAGCUUAAUAUAUGCCAAGUACUAUUCUGGACAUUGAAGAUACAAGUAAUCAUAAUGUCAUAUUCUUACCUUCAAGUAUCUCAGAGUCCACUGGAGAAGAUAAACGGAUUAACAUACAUUAUAACAAAGAAAGUGUUAAAAUAGUAGUAUCAACAUAGAUAUUCAAAAGAAGGAGUAUCUAACUUUUUUCUUGGCACACAGGCAAAGCUUCAUAGAGGAAGUGGCAUUUAAGAUGAGUCUUAAUGAUCAGUAGUAGCUUGGGAAGACAGAAAAGGGAAAGGGAAUUUUUAGCAAAAGAUAUGGCUUGUGCAAAGGCUUAAAAUGGUGGAGGAGCAUGGUAUAUUUGAGGAUUCAUGAGCAGGUCAAUUUGACUGAGUUAUAGGGUGAAUGAAAGGGAGUAGCAGGAGAUGAAGCUAGAAAGAUAUACUAACACUAGGUGGUUAAAAGGAACUUCUCUGACCUGGUAAGAAGUUUGGAUUUCAUUCUGUAGGCAAAAAAUACCUCAAGCUGAGUAGAAUGUUAUAAAAUUUUUGUUUAAAAAAGAAAACUGGACCAGGCGCAGUGGCUGACACCUGUAAUCCCAGCACUUUGGGAGGCUGAGGCAGGUGGAUCACCAGAGGUCAGGAGUUCAAGACCAGCCUGACCAACAUGGUUAAACCCCCUCUCUACAAAAACA